CUGGUAAGACAACAGUCAACCAGUCAGUCAGUCAGUCAGUCAGGUAACAUGGACACAGGUAACACAGCAGUCCGUCAGUCAGGCAGGUAACAUGGACACAGGUAACACAGCAGUCCGUCAGUCAGGCAGGUAACAUGGACACAGGUAACACAGCAGUCAGUCAGGUAGGAAACAUGGACACUGGUAACACAGCAGUCAGUCAGGUAGGUAACAUGGACACUGGUAACACAGCAGUCAGUCAGGCAGGUAACAUGGACACAGGUAACACAACAGUCAACCAGUCAGUCAGUCAGGUAACAUGGACACAGAUAACACAGCAGUCAGUCAGUCAGGUAACAUGGACACAGGUAACACAGCAGUCAGUCAGUCAGGUAACAUGGACACAGGUAACACAACAGUCAACCAGUCAGUCAGUCAGGUAACAGGAACACAGGUAACACAGCAGUCAGUCAGUCAAUCAGUCAGUCAGUCAGGUAGGUAACAUGGAUAACACAGCAGUCAGUUAGGUAACAUAGACACAGGUAACACAGCAGUCAGUCAAUCAGUCAGUCAGUCAGGUAGGUAACAUGGACACAGGUAA